UGGCUUGUCGGAUCGCGAGUUUCUUGAGCUCUGGAAGCGUAAAUCCGUCAGGCGGUCGCAGCAGCCAUGGAUUUGCGCGAGAAUAAAGAGCGGCCCCGAUAUCCGAGGUCUGGAAGGUCACAUUUCCUCAGGAACAUCGCAGCUCCAGAUUAUGGCGUCCUUGGCCGGGGAUUCAAUGGCGUGCGUCAGCUGCCAUCGCCUCCAAGCAUUGGCAGCCACCAGGCGACCAUGGACGUGGACGCCACUGGGAAUUUCUACAAGGUCGGUUUCUUUGAAGCACUACCAUUUCUUAUCUAUGAUUCCAGACUGGAAGCUUGGGUGACCGAUGCUAGCCAGGGACAGGGAUCUUCGAGGCUCUCUCUAAAUGAGCAAUCUGGAUAUGAGCUCGAGAUCAUGGUCGGAGGUAGAAGGCUGUGGCUUUCCGGAUAAAAGCCUGGGUAUCAUGCUCCAUGAUCAAUCACAGGGGCUAUUUCAGUAUCUCGGCAGCCUCUUUGGUUGAUGCUCGCAGAGCCUAUGAUCAUCUACGAAGUGGAAGUUCUCAUCUACGAGCCUGACACUGAGUGGCAUUACGUUGGAGGGGAGCUUUAUCUUCGUCCAGGCACUAGUGUACCUGCGAAGUUCUCACUCGGUCUGGGAAGAGUGGAGCUCCAUUUUUCCUCCAGCAGGUGCUUUCAACGUUUUCAUCCCAGAGGCUACUUAAGCUUCUACUGCUUUGGUAAUCGCGAGUUCCGGAAGCACGAGCCCACCACCUGAGAAGAACAGGCUCUGCGAGCAUCAACCAAAGAUCGAUGGACGGCUGCCGAGAUACUGAAAUAGCAAUGGGAGCGUUCCAGCCAAACUACACGUGGAAGCAGCAGCACAAACAUCCUAGGCAAGCUCAAUUUUUCUUGCUUGUAACAUCUUAAAGCUUGCCUUCGUUUCUUCCAGGCCUAUGGCUAUCUGGCUUGCGUGGAAGAUUGUUUCGAGAUCCAGCAAGCGUGGAAACAGUGCGUUGAUCGAGGAGGAGAACUGGAAGCAGGAUGGUCGAUAUGCAAUGCCUUAGCCGGUGGAGGUCACCCCAGAAGGAAAUCUGCCACUCCGCGAAUUGUCUGUACAAAAGAAGGGUGACUCAAAAGCGGGGCGUGAUCUUGUUUGGGACAAAAACUCCCAGUCAGGCAGUGGAUGAGGCAUUAGAAUCAAUCGACAGGUGGGUAGAUCAGGGUGAUGACGAGAAGAUCAUGGCGUGGACGAUGUAUAUCAGUGACGGCCAUGGUAGGCCACAGGACUACACCGCUGAGAAGCCACCGAAAAAGCUGUUGCUAUCUGCAGACAAAUGGUGGAAGAACAAACAGGAGGAGAGGAGGGCAGCAUUGAAGAAGUGGGACUUGGCUUUGAAGCUGCAGGAUAGCAAGAGGAGAGGAGGAAAGGGCUCGGGAGUUCAAGCAGAAGAGGAGAUGGAAGCCCAUGAAACCAUGGCUAAUGCUGGAAGAAGGAGGUGGUCUCCUAGAGUGAAGCUCGUAGAUUUUGCAGACUUGUGUUGGAUCGAACGAAGCCGUUGCAUGCAGUUUUGAUUGUGUGGGAUCCCAAGUGGAGGUGUGAACAUUUUCUUCUGGACAAAAUUGGAGGUAGUUGGGACUCAUGGAAACGCACCAAGGAACGGAUUUGUAAAAUAACAACUGUCGAAACAUUAAAGUUUAUAUGUGGCAAUGAAGCACAAGUACACAAUGAAACAACUGACAGUCGUUUUAAGAAAUGCAUGUACGCCUGCGAUGAGGGUCAGCAAAACUAUCCAAUCGGUCUUUAAUGCACUUUAGAGUGCAAUUGUGCCGCAAAUUGUGGUGAAGGUUGUUUGUGGCACUGGUUGAUGCUAAGAACGGAAAGAGGAUUCUCGAUACUCAAGUUGAAGUUAGAACCUUAACUUUAGUAUCCAGCGUUGAAAUUAAUUGAGAUGAAAUCCUUGCCAAGGGGGGCAAAUGGAAACUCUUUGUCUGGUGACCAGCAGCUAAAUGGACAGUGUAAGCAAAGACAACAGCUAAUCAUUCUCAAUGAUGAUGUAGAGGAACUUCUAUCACCUCCUUUACAUAAGGAGAACAGGUUCACGUUGGAAACCAGUCUGGAGAACUCCAUGCAAUCGUCAUGAGAACAGAUUUGAUAAGCAACGAUCACUUCAAAGCAACUUGAACAAUGAAAAUUAUGGAAAGUGGCGAUGUUAAGAUUGGCGAUAUCACCAAAGCUUGACUCACGAGCUUUUGAUCAAGUGUUACGAAAUCGGGAUUAAAACUCAGAGAAUAUAGAGAGAUUAGUGAAUAGUAAUUAUAAUUGUGAA